UUUUUUUUUAAUAUAUUUUAUUGAUUUUUUACAGAGAGGAAGGGAGAGAGAUAGUCAGAAACAUCGAUGAGAGAGAAACAUCGAUCAGCUGCCUCCUGCACAUCUCCCACCGGGGAUAUGCCCGCAACCCAGGCACAUGCCCUUGACCAGAAUCGAACCCGGGACCCUUCAGCCCGCAGGCCGACGCUCUAUCCACUGAGCCAAACCGGUUUCGGCCCUCUUGGAACUUUUAUCUCCUCCAUAAACGGAGGCCCUGAGUUUUAGACCAGGUCAGACACCCCCAAGACAGUCUAGCUGUCUUGUAAGGUCCUAGAAGACAGAGAAUAUGUUUUUACUAUCUUCUUUAAGUUUAUGUAUAUAGAAAAAAAUUAUUUAAAUUUUUUUUAAAGUAUUGAUUGAUUUUAGAGAGAGAGAGGAAGGGAGAAAGAGAAACAUCAAUUUGUUGUUCCACUUAUUUAUGCAUUUACUAAUGACCCAGUGCACAGAUUUGUGCACAUUGAAAGGAAAUUAAUUAGAAGGUGGCUGGCGGGGCAGGGCUGGGCGAGAGGGGCCAGACACACCCUGGAGCCAACUACCAGGAUCCCUCCCCAGUGUCUGCAGAGUGAGCGGGGUCCCUCCAGCAGGUAGGGUCCCUUGGCCUGGCCUGCAGGAAUUGGGCCGAAACCAGCUCUCCGACAUCUCCCGAGGGGUCCCAGAGUGCGAGAGGGCACUCUACAAAGUUGCUGUCGUACAGGGUGUGGAAUGCAAACCCAAGAGUGCAGCAAACCAGAUCGGGGCCGACAGUGCCCCAGCAACAACAUAGCCCACGGCUGAAGGUGGAAUCUCACGGCCUGCGAGGAAUCGGGUUCCCUCCUCUCUGAUUUCAGGGUGCGUCACCCAAGAACCUCCGCUGCCAAGUCACUGCAGCUCGGCAGCUCCUGCGUUGAGCAUCUGCCGCCUGGUGGGCUCGGGAAUGGAUAACAGGACUUUUGAGUCAUCACUGGAAUAAACUCAUUAAAGCCUCUUCAUAACGCCGUAUCUGUAACUGCAGGUGGGCGAGAAUGGCAAAGGAAGAAAACAGGAAAUUCUGUUCCAUUGUGCUCUCCACCUGGAAGGAACCAAAACAGCAUGAAAAGAAAGAACUGGAAACCUCCUUUUCUUUCUCCUAACUCAUAAAAACCACAAAGAUGCCUACCUUUCUCUUAUUAUAACUCUUUUCAUUACAUUAUAUUACAACUCCACCUGGGCCUUUUUUUAAAACAUUGAUUUUAGAGAGAGGCAGGGAGAGAGAGAAACGUCAAUUGAAGUGCCCUGACCUCAAUGUUCCCUGAUCGGGGAUCGAACCCGCCACCUUUUGGUGUAUGGGACGAUGCUCCAACCAAUUGAGCCUCACUGGCCAGGGCCCAUCUGGAGCUUUUAACAACCCUGUACAGAGGGCAGCUCAUUUAUUUUUAGCCCCAUUUUACUCAGAGACAUUAAAAGAUGUGUUCACAUCACUUGGCUAGGACUAAGCAAAAACAGAGUGUUCUGUCUCUCCUCCCACGAUCAGGCUGAAAAACCCAGAUAAUUGCCCAGACAUCUACUCUUCCAUCUCUAGUUGUGAAAUAGCAAAAAGGAAGAAAUGGAGGGAAAUGAGAAGGGGCAUGAGGUGCUGGGAGAAGACAGAGGCCCUCUGGGAUGGUUCUGUCAUGAGGCUGCAUUUGUGUCUUUCCCCUGGUUCUGGCUGACUCCCUCCCAACUCUCCCUGGUGUCUGCUGCUGCUUCUCACAAGUUUUAGUUGCACAGGCAGGAUCUUCUUCUCCAUGGAUUUCACCAGCAGCUUCUGUUGGGCUUCAGUUAACUCUGAAGAAAAGGGCAGAGGAAGAGAUGUGUGUUGGUGGUGCAGAGGGAGCUACAGCUCCACGUGGGUACCCUGCCAGACUUUCAGCGUUCAUUCAUUCAUCCCCACCCACAGUUGAACGCCUGCUCUGGGCCAGGCACCUUUGCUGAAUAUGUUCGGUAAAAAUGUACUCCCUUCACUCAAGGAACUUGCAGUCUAGUGGAGAAAAACCAAGGGACGCGCAAAUACAGCACACAGUGUGAGGGGAGCCAUAGCUGAGGGGUCUGCUUUGGCCUUGGCAUUUGAUGGCAGACUUCUUAAGAGAACAAACAUCUCAGCUUAUACCUGAAGGACCAGAGAAUUCUUUUAAGUGGGGGAAUGUUUCCUGCAGAGCGAAGAUGAGAAUUCAGGGGGCAAGAUCAGAGGAUGUGACCCCCUGAAAUGAAAGCUAACAAAUAUCGAUAACAUGUGAUGGGAUUAGCUAUGUAUGUUAUGCCAACCCCUGUUAGCAAGACCAGGCCAUCUUCUCAGACUAUCCAAGGUGACCAAGUGAAUCCUUAGGCAUGAGACCAAUUUUUAAAAAUGUAGAUAUAAGCUACUUCAUUGUGCUAUAAUUUGCCCGGCAUUCAUUCAUUUACUUAUUCAUUCAUUCAAACAUUUGGGAAUUCACUCAGUGAUUCAUUCCUAUCACCAGAAGGGUGUGUAAAUGAAGGCCGUAUUCCUUCCUUACCUGUUAGGGCUCCAAGGAAGUAGAGGAUGGCGCCCAUAACCUCCUUGGAUAUGAGGACAUCUCUUGGGAGUGCCUCCAGCGUCACUUCAUGUCCUUUGUCUAGAGCCCCUUCAAGCUGUGAGGAAAGAUUUCUUUUUCAAGGUAUCAAGUCCUGAAAAUAUCGGACUGACUUGGGUUCCUUGGUUCCUGAGCCUUACAUCCUGGAAAGGAAAGUUCUAGCCCCUUCCGAGAGAGGGCCUGCUGGCCUGCUGCCUCCCCUGUCCAUCAGGAAGGAGCAUGUGCCUUGGAGGAAACUGCACUGUUUGUCCUUCUCCAGAGGCACCAGGGCAGCCGGGGGCACCUGGCCAGCUUGGGGAAGGCAUCCGCUGUCACAUCCCCUGGCCCCUGAUCACCUUCUGCCAGUGUCAGCCCCCCCUCCCCCCAGCUGCACCUGCACCAAAAACCCUUCUCCCAACCCCCUUCCCCCCCACACACUUCCACUGGGACCUCACCGUGAGC